CCUACGGGUUGUAAACUGCUUUUAUACGGGAAUAACGCGCCUUACGUGUAGGGCUUUGCAUGUACCGUAUGAAGAAGGACCGGCUAAUUCCGUGCCAGCAGCCGCGGUAAUACGGAAGGUCCGGGCGUUAUCCGGAUUUAUGGGGUUUAAAGGGAGCGUAGGCCGCAUGUCAAGCGUGCGGGGAAAGGUCCGGGCUCCACCCGGGCCUUGCAGCGCGAACUGGCGUGCUUGAGUCCGCGGAAAGCAGGCGGAAUUCGUCGUGUAGCGGGGAAAUGCUUAGAUAUGACGCAGAACCCCGAUUGCGAAGGCAGCUUGCUGCAGCGGAACUGACGCUGCUGCUCGAACGCGCGGGUAUCGAACAGGAUUAGAUCCCCGGGUAGUC
rnacentral:rRNA from 1 species